rnacentral:misc_RNA from 1 species
GAUGAAGAACGUAGCAAAAUGCGAUAAGUAGUGUGAAUUGCAGAAUUCAGUGAAUCAUCGGAUCUUUGAACGCACAUUGCGCCCCUUGGUAUCCCGAGGGGCAUGCCUGUUCGAGCGUCAUUUCACCACUCAAGCCUGGCUUGGUGUUGGGCGACGUCCUCUUUGGGGACGCGCCUCGAAACGCUCGGCGGCGUGGCACCGGCUUUAAGCGUAGCAGAAUCUUUCGCUUUGGAAGUCGGGGCCCCGUCUGCCGGAAGACCUGCUCGCAAGGUUGACCUCGGAUCAGGCAGGGAUACCCGCUGAACUUAAGCAUAUCAAUAAGCGGAGGA